CGGGAAGGCCGGGAGCAGCUUCCAAAUCGCUGCUCUGCCCGGCCCCGCCGCUGCUCUGCUGUACCGGGGAGAGUUCAGGUUUGUUCAGCCAGAAACCCACACGGAGGACACAGUGGGUUUCUUUUGUGCAGCAGCAAAGGCAAAUGCAAACACAGCUUCCUCCCCGAAGGAAUAUUAGUACAAGCAGAGAGUGAGGGAAAGAGAAAAGGGGAAGAGAGGACAGUGUAGGAGCCCAACAUCACAUCCGAGCCCAGGAAAAGAGGGAAGGAUAACCAGGAGCGCAGACACCACAAACACGGCGUCCCUGCUCGGGGAAUAGGGUGAAACCCAGCGUAUGGUGGGGGAUGUUCAGCACUAAUGUCUGGCUGAGCAAAAAACCAGCUGCCCGUGGAGAAGCACUACUCUCUUCAAAAGUUUUAUCCUUCAUUUAAUCAACAGAUGGACUAGCUGCGUGGGUUUGGGGUUUUUUUAUCCCUUUUUUCUUUUUUUCCCCAAGCAUCCCCAAGCCGUACCCUCACAAAAGCUGGCGUGGGGACCGCGGCGGCGUGACACAGAUGGGAUUUGACACCGGCGUUGGGAGGGGAUGAGCAGCACAGAGGCGAAGCCGGGGUCCGGCUGCAGCUCAGCGUCCUCCACAGGACUUUGGGGCCAGAGCAGAGGUGCCCAAAAAUCAAACCCAAGUAAUAAAAUCAUUGCUUACCCCACUACACUUUGUGCGGCUACUGAUACUCAUCACCAGUCUGAGGGGCAUGUGGGGCUGGCUGAGGCAAUUAUUAAACCAAAAUGAGAAAGUAAUUACAGUUGUGGACUCUAAUUACUGCAAGGUGAGUUUGAAAAAAAAGGCUGCACAGCUCUCCCUGCUGUUCUGGGGCUUUCUGCUUACCUUGGUGGGACCAUGGCUAAACCAUGGCUACCAGCCCUGGUCUGGCUAAAAAAGGACAACUUUCCAAACUCCACUCGUGCUAACAAGCUAAACUGGUGCCAGGUGGUUAAACCUGGCUUAGGAGCAGCACUGAGCUGAGUUUUAUUGAUUGAAACUCAAGCACUGCACGCAGGCUCUGCUCUCAGCACAGGAG
rnacentral:lncRNA from 1 species